rfam:Pectobacterium carotovorum subsp. carotovorum PC1, complete genome.
CAGCAGGAUGGAGAGGACGGCGAGUGGCCAGAUGAGGUAGCUGAGCCAUUGCAACCAGCUUGGAAUGUGGCUCAUGAGCUGGGGAAUCCAGUCAUUUAACCGGGUGAAAAGCCACCAGAAGGCCCCCCCCAUCAGCACAAUAUUCAUGAGUAGGGGAAGAAUGACGAAACGCCGGAUGCCCGGUAGUGAGAUCAAACGCCAUCCGGCAAGAAAAUAGUGUAUUCCGCUGCGAACCUGGCCUGCGGUGUUGCCGUAAGGCGGUUUUUCGAAAGACAUAGUGACAAUAUACUCAGUCAUUUGUUUGUUGAGGCAUCAUAUCGGGAUGAUCUUAUGCUGACUAGCCCGCAUUUGGAUGAAAAAACAGCAAAAAAGUGCGUUGUAUCUAUCUUUCUUGUCAUAAAGUACCGCGCAGGCUUGCACUUGUGUACUCAGGCAAAUAGAGU